rnacentral:rRNA from 1 species
GUACACUCCUGCGGGAGGCAGCAGUGGGGAAUAUUGGACAAUGGGCGCAAGCCUGAUCCAGCCAUGCCGCGUGAGUGAUGAAGGCCCUAGGGUUGUAAAGCUCUUUCACCGGUGAAGAUAAUGACGGUAACCGGAGAAGAAGCCCCGGCUAACUUCGUGCCAGCAGCCGCGGUAAUACGAAGGGGGCUAGCGUUGUUCGGAUUUACUGGGCGUAAAGCGCACGUAGGCGGACUAUUAAGUCAGGGGUGAAAUCCCGGGGCUCAACCCCGGAACUGCCUUUGAUACUGGUAGUCUUGAGUUCGAGAGAGGUGAGUGGAAUUCCGAGUGUAGAGGUGAAAUUCGUAGAUAUUCGGAGGAACACCAGUGGCGAAGGCGGCUCACUGGCUCGAUACUGACGCUGAGGUGCGAAAGCGUGGGGAGCAAACAGGAUUAGAAACCCGGGUAGUCCCAUGAU